rnacentral:lncRNA from 1 species
UCUUUCUAUUCCAUUUCUCUCUCUCUGCCUCAACCUAGGGCAAGAUAAGCUUGACCUGAUGGGUCAUGGCUCUGUACAAUAGUUUAGUCUUAAAAAACUGAGAUGCUACGUAUUUAAGAACACUCAUGACUCAAAGGCUUGGGAACGGCUCUUUAAAUUUGCUCUUUUAAUGCAUAAAUAAAUCCAUAUCAUGUAUUACUUUCUGGAAAAGGGUUAAACUCAAAUAUCUGAAAUACUUUCAUUAUACCAGGUCAAGAAAAAUGCCACAGCCAGAAAAAUUUAUUUUAAAAUAGAAACAUACAUUAAGCUUUAAAACAACCAACUCUCAAACAAAAGAGGAAAGAGCCUUUGAUCCCAGAGUCCACGCGGAAUGAAUUCCAUACGUGUUUGAAAUUCACAUAAGGAGCACUUAGAAAACCACCUGAAAUGGAAAUCCAACAGCCCCCUUGCCUGUGAGGGCUCCCACCCCUGCCAGCGUGAGGACAUGGCCGAACCCCGGACACUCAGAAAUGUCCGAAGGGAUUUUGGCAACACAGAAAAUGCAAUGUCUAGGAAUUCCUCCAAAUGCUUCCAAAAAUACUCAUUGACAAUUCAAGUUGCACUUGGCUGGCGGCAGCCCGGGCGGCCUUCAGUCUGUGUGGGGCGCCCGCGUGGCCUUCUCCUCGUAGGACUCCCCAAACUCGUUCACUCUGCGUUUAUCCACAGGAUAAAGCCUGCAACGACACAAAUGAGCACAUCAGCAAACCCCACUGCAGGGGCUAUUUUUCUAAGAGGAGGACUUGGCAUCCUCGAUUUAUUUUCCAGUGAGCUGCCACAGUGAGCAAAUUAACUAAAAAGUCGAAUCCUCAGAAGUUUUACUGCCGAGGGCUGAGGAGGGAUUUCUGAGUUGUGUUUUGUUCUGCAUGGCCAGGCCAGCGCGCUGCUCUCAAGGAAAGGGAAGCUUGGCCGAAGGGACGACCCGGAGGCCGCAUGGGCU